rnacentral:rRNA from 1 species
CGAAGUUUAUUUGAGAAAUAUUUGUCAGAAAAUUUCCCGAACUCAGAAGUGAAACCUCUUAGCGCUGAUGGUAGUGUGGAGUUAUCCAUGUGAGAGUAAGUCAUCGCCAGCUC